UACGUAGGGAGCAAGCGUUGUCCGGAAUCAUUGGGCGUAAAGCGCGCGUAGGCGGCCUCGUAAGUCCGUUGUGAAAGUCAAAGGCUCAACCUUUGAAAGCCGAUGGAUACUGUGAGGCUAGAGUCCGGAAGAGGCGAGUGGAAUUCCUGGUGUAGCGGUGGAAUGCGCAGAUAUCAGGAGGAACACCAAUAGCGAAGGCAGCCCCCUGGGCCAAUACUGACGCUCAUGCACGAAAGCGUGGGGAGCAAACAGG
rnacentral:rRNA from 1 species